rnacentral:rRNA from 1 species
AUUGAACGCUGGCGGCAUGCCUAACACAUGCAAGUCGAACGGCAGCACAGUAAAGACUUCGGUCUUUAUGGGUGGCGAGUGGCGGACGGGUGAGUAACGCGUAGGAAUCUGUCCUGGAGAGUGGGAUAACCCGAGGAAACUCGGGCUAAUACCGCAUGAUAUCGAGAGAUCAAAGGCAGGGGACCCUUCGUGGCCUUGCGCUCUAGGUUGAGCCUACGUCGGAUUAGCUAGUUGGUGGGGUAAAGGCCUACCAAGGCGACGAUCCGUAGCUGGUCUGAGAGGAUGACCAGCCACACUGGGACUGAGACACGGCCCAGACUCCUACGGGAGGCAGCAGUGGGGAAUCUUGGACAAUGGGGGAAACCCUGAUCCAGCGAUGCCGCGUGUGUGAAGAAGGCCUUCGGGUUGUAAAGCACUUUAGGUGGGGAAGAAAGGUAAUGAGUGAAUAACUGAUUGCUUUGACGGUACCCGCAGAAUAAGCACCGGCUAACUCUGUGCCAGCAGCCGCAGUAA